rnacentral:tRNA from 1 species
AGUCCUGUAGGCGAAUUCAGUUAAGCCGCCAGUCUCUCAAACUGGAGAUUGCGGGUGCAAAUCCCGUCAGGACUU